GUGGGGAAUAUUGGACAAUGGGGGGAACCCUGAUCCAACCAUGCCGCGUGUGUGAAGAAGGCCUUUUGGUUGUAAAGCACUUUAAGCGAGGAGGAGGCUACUUAGAUUAAUACUCUAGGAUAGUGGACGUUACUCGCAGAAUAAGCACCGGCUAACUCUGUGCCAGCAGCCGCGGUAAUACAGAGGGUGCAAGCGUUAAUCGGAUUUACUGGGCGUAAAGCGCGCGUAGGUGGCCAAUUAAGUCAAAUGUGAAAUCCCCGAGCUUAACUUGGGAAUUGCAUUCGAUACUGGUUGGCUAGAGUAUGGGAGAGGAUGGUAGAAUUCCAGGUGUAGCGGUGAAAUGCGUAGAGAUCUGGAGGAAUACCGAUGGCGAAGGCAGCCAUCUGGCCUAAUACUGACACUGAGGUGCGAAAGCAUGGGGAGCAAACAGGAUUAGAUACCCUUGUAGUCC
rnacentral:rRNA from 1 species